GCACCCUUAGCUCAAUUGGAUAGAGCAACGGCCUUCUAAGCCGUAGGUUGCAGGUUCGAGCCCUGCCAGGCGCGCCA
rnacentral:tRNA from 1 species